UACGUAGGUGGCAAGCGUUGUCCGGAUUUACUGGGCGUAAAGAGCGCGCAGGCGGUUGAUUAAGUCGAAUGUGAAAGCCCCCGGCUCAACUGGGGAGGGUCAUUCGAUACUGAUCGACUUGAAGGCAGGAGAGAGAAGUGGAAUUCCCGGUGUAGUGGUGAAAUGCGUAGAUAUCGGGAGGAACACCAGUGGCGAAGGCGACUACCUGGCCUGUUCUUGACGCUGAGGCGCGAAAGCUAGGGGAGCAAACGGG
rnacentral:rRNA from 1 species